rnacentral:rRNA from 1 species
UACGUAGGUGACAAGCGUUAUCCGGAUUUAUUGGGCGUAAAGCGCACGCAGGCGGCGGAUUAAGUCUGACGUGAAAUCUCUCGGCUUAACCGGGAGCGGUCGUUGGAAACUAAUCGGCUUGAGGCGAUGAGAGGGGUGUGGAAUUCCCGGUGUAGUGGCGGAAUGCGUAGAUAUCGGGAGGAACAUCAGUGGCGAAAGCGGCACCCUGGCAUUAGCCUGACGCUCAGGUGCGAAAGCGUGGGGAGCGAACGGG